UCGGUAGUAGAGUCGCAGGUUUCACAAGAGGAUACAGCCUCUCCUGGAAAUCAAGAUUUUUUCAUAUAAUUCCUAUUUUUUCCUGUGCUUCGGGAAGGACGCAGUGAUGCUUCAAAACUUAGCAUGUUUAUCACUCCUUCCUCUUCCUCCUAUUUCCUGAAAAGGACUUACUAAUGCUUCAAAAGACUAGAAUAUCUUUUUCCAUGGGAUUGCUUGUCUUCUCUUUAAUGACAGCCUUCACGAUGACUUUCCUUGGGCUACCGCAGCAUCGAUGACCACGUUCCUCGCAUCUUAUGGUGAGCGAAAGAUCCGAAUCGACACGGGUGAUUGGUUGUAUUACGUAGAAUUUUUUUCGAGCACAGUGACCGCGGAUAUUUAUUAUACCCGUGGGUAGUAACAUUUUCAUUUUCUAUGUAUUAUUUAUUAGUUCAGGAUAGGUCUUCUUGCACAUCGCGUUUUCUCCUAUAUUAAUUACAUGAUACUGACCAAUUUUAUAUUAACAGUAUUAAUAAUGGUACUAACUGAUGAAAACGACAUUAACAAUUAAUUUGAAUAUUUGUGAUUGAAGAUAUACAUGUAUAUUAACUAUAAUCAUUUUUAAAGUUGGAAUAUAUUAAAAAUGUAUAUGUACAGAGAGUUGUAAUGAUUUAAUUAAAUAUUUCAUAGUGAUGAAGACGGAUGCCCUCCGACUUCGUUGCAUUAAAGAUUGCAAUUAUUAUAUAUUUAAUAAUAACGCUAGUAGGCCAUUUUUUAUUUCAUCUUCUAUUGUCUGAUGGCAUUAUGACGAUGGAUUUAAUUGUUUGCCACUUAUUUUUUAAUUUGAGUAUAAAUUUAAAGAUAGAAAAGCUCAGUCUUGCCGUACAAAAAUGCAUUGAAUUUUAUGUGCAAGAAGAAAUUUCGCGACUGGCAAGUUUUGGAAUCAAAGCAAUAAGCUUUGAAUGCUGCUUUUACGCUUUCGAAAAUUUGCUUUGACGAAGGGAUUGCCUGAGGUUGUUUGCACUAAUAUUUAACUUUGAGUCAAUUAUUAAAUAAAUUUCUUAUUCAUUCAUAUAAUUAUUCAGUAAUUCAUAGAGUCGAUUAUUUGAACGAAUCGUUAUAUUAUACUGAUCUUAUUUGUGCUGUUUUCUAUAAAUAAAUUCAAUAUUGGUAUUUUGAUAAUUUAUUAAAUUAAUAAAGUAGAGUAUACAAUGGUAGUA